ACAGUCUUCGGAAGGGGCAGCAAGGGAGCAAGGGCAACAGGGAAGAGCUGCUAAGCGGCGUGCUAUGAGCUGCUGCUGUUACUGACGGCGGCCACAGCAGGGGACAAUUGUACAUGACAGCAUCCUGCGAACAGAGGUGGCAGUAAGUUGGUGGGAGCAGAGGUGCCAGUGGGACUGAUCGUCCGCGCGUGCACCGGUCAGAGGUGGCCCUGCAGGUUCCUGCACAUCCCAAGGUGAAUACAAGGCAGCAACACAGGCAGCACCAACGGCUUCAGUGCUGGCAAUGGAGGACGACGGCUGCCAAGCCAACAUCACCAGUGUUGGAAGUGCGGAGAGACCUGGCCCCAUAUCGCCUCCUUCCCCUGGCGGACAUCAAGGAGGCAGAGGGGCUGUGGGUGCCCACGGCUUCUGUCAUCAGCAUCCACUUGGCUGUGGGAGGGUCACGUAAAGAAGAACGUAAUGGAGGACCAGAACAGGAAAGUCCUCAAGGCCCUGGAGCGUGUCCAGAAAAUAGCCACAAAGGCGGUGCGGGUGUGGAGCAAUGAUCUGAGCGGGAGUGGAUUAAUGUGUAACCCGGAGGAGGGAGAAACACCCCCUUACAAAAAAGGUACUCAUCUGGACACCACCUGAACACUGCCAGGGACGAUGAUUCCACCGCCUUCCUGGUCAAAGAAGAAGAAGAACCAGGAGAAGUCUGGAUGAGCUGACAAAGCAUGCGUGGGAAGGCCACCAAGCACCUCAGCCACCUGGUGUGGAGAAGCCCCCUCAUCUGCAGCAAGAAGAUACACCCUCUUGUCAUGGUCAAAGAUGAGGACAUGGUCGGUGCUGCAGGUUCCUUGGGUCCCCUGAUCUGUACAGGGUUCCCAGUGAUCCUCUGGCAGCUCUCCUGGAUGGAAAGCCCCUGAUUUUAUGCCACCUGCCUUUCAGGAAAAUGUUUAUUUUCCCAAACAACAACAGAGGAUAAUUGAAAUAUCUUUUCCUAUUCUCUCCCCUCCCACCCCUCACCCCCAAGUUGUGCUCCUCAUUGUAAAUAAAUUAUUUGACCCUAA